AGGAAAGUAGGGGAUCGCAAGACCUUGCGCUUUUGGAGCGGCCGAUGUCUGAUUAGCUAGUUGGUGAGGUAAAGGCUUACCAAGGCUUCGAUCAGUAGCUGGUCUGAGAGGACGACCAGCCACACUGGGACUGAGACACGGCCCAGACUCCUACGGGAGGCAGCAGUGGGGAAUUUUGGACAAUGGGGGCAACCCUGAUCCAGCCAUGCCGCGUGAGUGAAGAAGGCCUUCGGGUUGUAAAGCUCUUUCAGCCGGAACGAAAAGGUUACGGUUAAUACCCGUGACUAAUGACGGUACCGGAAGAAGAAGCACCGGCUAACUACGUGCCAGCAGCCGCGGUAAUACGUAGGGUGCGAGCGUUAAUCGGAAUUACUGGGCGUAAAGCGUGCGCAGGCGGUUUUGUAAGUCAGAUGUGAAAUCCCCGGGCUUAACCUGGGAACUGCGUUUGAAACUACAAAGCU
rnacentral:rRNA from 1 species